GCGAAAGGAUCAUUGCCGAGACCCA
rnacentral:rRNA from 1 species